rnacentral:rRNA from 1 species
AUACGUAGGGUGCGAGCGUUGUCCGGAAUUACUGGGCGUAAAGAGCUCGUAGGUGGUUUGUCGCGUCGUCUGUGAAAUUCCGGGGCUUAACUCCGGGCGUGCAGGCGAUACGGGCAUAACUUGAGUACUGUAGGGGAGACUGGAAUUCCUGGUGUAGCGGUGAAAUGCGCAGAUAUCAGGAGGAACACCGGUGGCGAAGGCGGGUCUCUGGGCAGUAACUGACGCCGAGGAGCGAAAGCAUGGGUAGCGAACAGGAUUAGAUACCCUGGUAGUCCAUGCCGUAAACGGUGGGCGCUAGGUGUAGGGGUCUUCCACGACUUCUGUGCCGUAGCUAACGCAUUAAGCGCCCCGCCUGGGGAGUACGGCCGCAAGGCUAAAACUCAAAGGAAUUGACGGGG